rnacentral:lncRNA from 1 species
GGUGGAGAUUGAAGAAACAAUGGAGAUGAGUAAGAAUAAUUAAAUGGUUUAAUUAUUUAUGGCAAAGAUUAAUUAAUAUGUUAAUUAAUCAAACGAAUAAGUUCGUUAAAGACCUCGGGAUAGUUUUGGACCUUAAGGCCCAAUGGGUUUCGAACGUCAAGCCCAUUGACUUAAGUUGUAUGACAACUUAAUGAAUAAUGAUUCACAAAGGCCCAAUUAGCCCAAUAAUACCCUAAGGCCGGCCAUUUAGAGAUGGAGUGAGUUUUGGACUUAUUUACAAGUUUGCCACUCCAAUGAAUUAAGGUAUAAAUAUGACUUUAUAGACAAAAUUCAUUUAGGGUUUUUUUUUUAGAGAAUUGGAGAGAACAUAUCUCUCUCUUUUCUCUCUAAGAGGCCAGCCCCCUUGGAGGGAUUAGCUAGUAAUCUUUCUCCUCCAAGGUCACUCAUCUCUUCUUCACAUCUUACCUUGGUGCGGAGACUUAGAGGUUCUCUAUUUUGAGAACUUGGAGAAACAUAUUCUUCCAUCCAA